rnacentral:tRNA from 1 species
CACGGUGGUCUAGCGGUUAGAACGCUGGCCUUGUAAUCCAGGGGGGUCUCGGGUUCGAUUCCCGGCGGUG